rnacentral:rRNA from 1 species
AUUGAACGCUGGCGGCAGGCCUAACACAUGCAAGUCGAACGGUAACAGGAAGCAGCUUGCUGCUUUGCUGACGAGUGGCGGACGGGUGAGUAAUGUCUGGGAAACUGCCCGAUGGAGGGGGAUAACUACUGGAAACGGUAGCUAAUACCGCAUAACGUCGCAAGACCAAAGAGGGGGACCUUAGGGCCUCUUGCCAUCGGAUGUGCCCAGAUGGGAUUAGCUAGUAGGUGGGGUAACGGCUCACCUAGGCGACGAUCCCUAGCUGGUCUGAGAGGAUGACCAGCCACACUGGAACUGAGACACGGUCCAGACUCCUACGGGAGGCAGCAGUGGGGAAUAUUGCACAAUGGGCGCAAGCCUGAUGCAGCCAUGCCGCGUGUAUGAAGAAGGCCUUCGGGCUGUAAAGUACUUUCAGCGGGGAGGAAGGGAGUAAAGUUAAUACCUUUGCUCAUUGACGUUACCCGCAGAAGAAGCACCGGCUAACUCCGUG